rfam:Chryseobacterium sp. SCN 40-13 ABS44_C0043, whole genome shotgun sequence.
GUUUCACUUUAGGGGUGUCUAUUGAAAAGUAGGCUGAGAUUUUACCCUUUGAACCUGAUGCAGUUCAUACUGCCGUAGGGAAAAGUGCAAUGACUUCA